rnacentral:rRNA from 1 species
GAUGAACGCUGGCGGCGUGCUUAACACAUGCAAGUCGAACGGUGAAGCAGGAGCUUGCUCCUGUGGAUCAGUGGCGAACGGGUGAGUAACACGUGAGCAAUCUGCCCUGGACUCUGGGAUAAGCGUUGGAAACGACGUCUAAUACCGGAUACGAGGCGUGGGGGCAUCCCCAACGCCUGGAAAGAACUUCGGUCCAGGAUGAGCUCGCGGCCUAUCAGGUAGUUGGUGAGGUAACGGCUCACCAAGCCUACGACGGGUAGCCGGCCUGAGAGGGUGACCGGCCACACUGGGACUGAGACACGGCCCAGACUCCUACGGGAGGCAGCAGUGGGGAAUAUUGCACAAUGGGCGCAAGCCUGAUGCAGCAACGCCGCGUGAGGGACGACGGCCUUCGGGUUGUAAACCUCUUUCAGCUGGGAAGAUAAUGACUGUACCAGCAGAAGAAGCCCCGGCUAACUCCGUGCCAGCCGCCGCGGUAAGAC